UGGACAGUGAGGAUUAACGGAGGCAUAAUCCAACACUUGAUUCGACCCUGGCUUAUGCCGUCCGCGUGAUGCAGACAUCUUUUCAUCCGAAUCCAU